UCAGUGCGAGAUGAUCUCACUCUUUCACCUGGUCACAAUGUGCUGAUUAAUCUCCUUUUAAAAAGGAGAAGCGCCAGGGUGAGGGGGAGGCAUUUUUUGUAAAGCUACUAUUGAGGAUUGCUGAGUGUGCUGACAGAAUAGAGACACUGAGAAGAAACGGCACAAUUGCUGUUUUUAGAAGGAAAACGUUGGUACCUGUUCAGGACAGUGAUCAUGGUAAAGAAUGUGAAGUAGCUGAUUAUUAAAGCCACAAUAAAAGGGACUGUUCUGAUUCUGGAAGAGAGGAAUGGUGAACUACAGGCAGCACGAGUGAAGCUUGGAACUGGUUUAGAGAAAAGUAAAACAGGUUUAAAAGGCACUGCAUAUCAACAGGACACUCAGUACUGCAUCUCCAGCCCCGCCCCACCCCUCGUUCGCUGUAUUUUUCAUAGUCGUGCAUAUUGAUGAAUCAUCUCCUGAUCACUUGUUUUAUCACCAAACUCCUCAAUAAUGUGAUACAAGUCAUUAUUCUAUUAUCUGUGGUGCAGGGUCUAUGUGUAUUGCUCAGAUCUGACCCCUUUUUUCCAGAUUCUCUCGGCUCCUAUCGGUCUCACUCGGCCAUUGAAAGGUUUUCUCUGCUUUUUCCAGUGAAAAAACGACUAGAGACCUGUGCUUGAUGUCUUUUUGAUGUCGGACAAGGUCCAACAUCGGACCGGAAGGGAAUAAUUGCAAUGUCGGACCUGGUCUGACAUAGGACCGCAAAGGGUUAAACAUGUUAUUGGGAAUUACUUGGAUAAUACAAAUAUCUGUACUGCCUAAUUUAAAAAAAAAAAAAAAACAUUAUCUAUUUGAAAAUCCACAUGAACAGCUAUGGCCAAAAGUUUUGCAUCACCUAUAAUUUUAGGAUUGAGAUGUAGUAGUAAUAAAAAAAAACAACAUAUGAACAUAAACUACAAAAUGACAUUGCAAAAGUCUACUGGAAGCCAUAAUAGUAGUACAGUAUUUUGUUGUCAGUUUUUUGUUAAGUAUAUACAUGGAAAACUACAAAGCGGUAUGUAAUUCAAUAUGUUAACGUAACAUUAUUCAGCAGGUUUCAUUCGCUUUUAUGAAGCAAAAUGAGUUCAUGCUAUAGGGUGAUGCAAAACUUUGGCCAUAGCUAUACAGUAAUGGAUCAUUUCUAGAGAAAAUAGCAAACUAUGAUUUUUUAUAUUAAAAAGUCUUCAGGAAACAUGGAUGUUUUAACAUAAACCUC